rnacentral:lncRNA from 1 species
CGGAGUUUGCUUCAAAUGUGGCAAACAAGCCACUGGGCAAGAAACUGCCCUUGCUUCAGCCGCUGACAGUAUGCUGUCCAAACUGGACCAACAGGAUGCAGGAGUUGCCCUGGUCCCAGUGUCUCUUCACAACAGUGAACAGUGUCUAAACAGGUUUCAAAUUUUGAUUGGUUGGAUGAAGCAUCUAUCAAAAGAUGGCUUAUUGAAAGAGUUGGAGAUGCCUGAUACCCCUUGGCUUAGUGCUGCUGAAGGGAUUUUAAGGCUCAGGGAAUUGCAGUGCUCGAGUGGGUACGCUGUGUAAAACCUCCACAACGUGAAGGCCCAGAAGACACGCCCUUCACAAAUCCUGUAAGACACAAAAUGGUGCACCAGCACAUUUGAAGAGUUUUGCCCUUUUCCUUGUGCCAGACCUAAGGGCUGGAGAUGCUGCUGCUCAGUGGAUGAAUUAAAUGCAAUGGGUUUAACUGGGGCACAGAGUAGCAGGGCCAGGUGGCAGCACUGAAUUAACUAAGGCAAGGUGAUCAUAGUUAUUCCAAUGAGCAGCACAACAACAAAGCAAUGAUCGUAAUAGCCUGCCAUGAUGGUCAGCACAGGCAAAGUGAAUUUUAGGGUGGCAUGACUGGUAUGGACUUAGGUACUGGGUAACCAACCAUGGUGUUUCCAGGCAUGAAAC